rnacentral:rRNA from 1 species
AUUGAACGCUGGCGGCAUGCUUUACACAUGCAAGUCGAACGGUAACAGGCCGCAAGGUGCUGACGAGUGGCGAACGGGUGAGUAAUGCAUCGGAACGUGCCCAGUCGUGGGGGAUAACUACUCGAAAGAGUAGCUAAUACCGCAUACGAUCUAUGGAUGAAAGCGGGGGACCGUAGGGCCUCGCGCGAUUGGACCGGCCGAUGUCAGAUUAGGUAGUUGGUGGGGUAAAGGCUCACCAAGCCAACGAUCUGUAGCUGGUCUGAGAGGACGACCAGCCACACUGGGACUGAGACACGGCCCAGACUCCUACGGGAGGCAGCAGUGGGGAAUUUUGGACAAUGGGCGCAAGCCUGAUCCAGCAAUGCCGCGUGCAGGAAGAAGGCCUUCGGGUUGUAAACUGCUUUUGUACGGAACGAAACGGCUCUGGUUAAUACCCGGGGCUAAUGACGGUACCGUAAGAAUAAGCACCGGCUAACUACGUG